rnacentral:tRNA from 1 species
GGAGAGGUGGCCGAGUGGUCGAAGGCGCUCGCCUGCUAAGCGAGUGUACGUUUAAUCGCGUACCGAGGGUUCGAAUCCCUCCCUCUCCG